GACAACUUAGGCUGGAUGCCUAGUAGACAUCUCCAGGUGGAAGAUAAUGAGCAGGACUAUAUAGGUUGGAGCUCGAGGGAGAGACUGAGGCUGGAGAUAUACAUAUUUUAUAUGGGAGUUUUUGGGGUAGAGCUUGUAGUUAGUGCUAGGAGACUGGAUGAGACCCAGUCUGCAUGAAUGAGUGUACACAGGGAAGAGUCCAGAGUCCUGAGAUUCUGUGUAGAGUGUGUAGAAUUCAGCCAAUGAGGGGGAGCCAGGGAAGGAGAUGGGAAGGGAACAGCCACAUAGGGAGGAGGGAAGCCAGUAGCAUGCUUAUGCUAAGUGGCUUCACUUGAAGCCAAGUGAAGAAAACAUUUCUAGAUGAAGCAAACAAUCAGUUGUAACAAAUACUGUUGAUUUAGGUAAGAUGAGCCUAAGAAUGGCCCACUGGAUGUGGAAAAAUGAAGAUUAUCAGUGAUCCCGACAGCACAGGUCUCAGGGCACCCUGACUGGAGUGAAUGCAAGGGAGAAUGGAAAAGGAAGAAUUGGAGAAAUCUGGAUGACUCUUGAGUAACUUUUUUUCUGAAGGCAACAGAUGGUGGCUGGAGUGGGAUGUGGGUCAAAGUUCUUUGUUGUUUUUACUUGUUUUGCUUUAAGAAGGGAACUGUUAUGGCAAGUUUAUUUGCUGAUGGGAAUAAUCCAGUAAAAAGAGAAACACUUAUGAUUUGGGAGAGAAAGGGAUUGAUCACUGGAGUGAUGUGGCUUGAUUGGGUGUGGGCAGAGGAACCCAGAACUCCCAUGGAGGAGCUGUCAGCAUUGACAGGCAUUCAUGGGACAGGGAGAGGACAGGUACAUGAGCUCAUCUGGGGAAGGUUGGCAGGGUGAGUGUGGCAGAAGUGUGGCAUGGGGCAAAUAACCCCUUCCUGUUUUCUUAGGGGAAAGGAAGCAGGGACAUUAACCAAGACUGAGGAGGAAGAGUUGCAGAGUUGAAGGGAGGGUCAUGAAAGUUGUCUUGCAGCUGGGAUCAUGGACUUGCAAUAGGUUCUGAGCAUACAUUUAAAGUGAUACCAGCUGACCUGGGUGAGGUGGA
rnacentral:lncRNA from 1 species